GGUCAUUUUCCUCUAUUUUUAUAAUCUCCUUUUCUCCUGUAUAUUCUCUUGACGCAAUUAAUCUUAUGAAGACCUAAUCCCCCAAUUUUCAUCUUCGAUUACUCAUUCUCUUUGAAUAUAGAAAAGAUUGGAUUUUCGGUAUGGCUAAUUGUGAAUUUGGGUUCUGUUGCUCAAUCGUUGUUCUUUUGGUGUACCUUUCUUGAAGAAAGGUUUGGUGCUUAUUGCUGGUUGAGCAACCUAUUAUAUGAUCGUGGUUUGAUUCUAUUUUUCUUAUCAUCCAAUCGGAGUUUGAUUCUAAAUCAUGAAGUAUGAAGAAAGAUUGGGUGUACUGCGGACUUCUCCGCCGAUCAUGUUCAAAUCCAUCUCUAUAUUUUAUUUGUUUCGUCCAAAAUGGAGUGAUUGAUCACUGGGUUAAUAAUGAAUUUUUUUGAAGCA